AUUGAACGCUGGCGGCAGGCCUAACACAUGCAAGUCGAGCGAGCGGCGGACGGGUGAGUAAUGUCUGGGAAACUGCCUGCUGGAGGGGGAUAACUCCUGGAAACGGUAGCUAAUCCCGCAUACCAUCAGAUGUGCCCAGAUGGGAUUAGCUAGUAGGUGGGGUAACGGCUCACCUAGGCGACGAUCCCUAGCUGGUCUGAGAGGAUGACCAGCCACACUGGAACUGAGACACGGUCCAGACUCCUACGGGAGGCAGCAGUGGGGAAUAUUGGACAAUGGGCGAAAGCCUGAUGCAGCCAUGCCGCGUGUGUGAAGAAGGCCUUCGGGUUGUAAAGCACUUUCAGCGGGGAGGCGUUACCCACAGAAGAAGCACCGGCUAACUCCGUGCCAGCCGCCGCGGCAAUUC
rnacentral:rRNA from 1 species